CGGCCCAGACUCCUACGGGAGGCAGCAGUGGGGAAUUUUGGACAAUGGGGGAAACCCUGAUCCAGCCAUCCCGCGUGUGCGAUGAAGGCCUUCGGGUUGUAAAGCACUUUUGGCAGGAAAGAAACGUCAUGGGCUAAUACCCCGUGAAACUGACGGUACCUGCAGAAUAAGCACCGGCUAACUACGUGCCAGCAGCCGCGGUAAUACGUAGGGUGCAAGCGUUAAUCGGAAUUACUGGGCGUAAAGCGUGCGCAGGCGGUUCGGAAAGAAAGAUGUGAAAUCCCAGAGCUUAACUUUGGAACUGCAUUUUUAACUACCGAGCUAGAGUGUGUCAGAGGGAGGUGGAAUUCCGCGUGUAGCAGUGAAAUGCGUAGAUAUGCGGAGGAACACCGAUGGCGAAGGCAGCCUCCUGGGAUAACACUGACGCUCAUGCACGAAAGCGUGGGGAGCAAACAGGAUUAGAUACCCUGGUAGUCCACGCCCUAAACGAUGUCAACUAGCUGUUGGGGCCUUCGGGCCUUGGUAGCGCAGCUAACGCGUGAAGUUGACCGCCUGGGGAGUACGGUCGCAAGAUUAAAACUCAAAGGAAUUGACGGGGACCCGCACAAGCGGUGGAUGAUGUGGAUUAAUUCGAUGCAACGCGAAAAACCUUACCUACCCUUGACAUGUCUGGAAUUCCGAAGAGAUUUGGAAGUGCUCGCAAGAGAACCUGGAACACAGGUGCUGCA
rnacentral:rRNA from 1 species